CCUACGGGGGGCAGCAGUGAGGAAUAUUGGUCAAUGGGCGGAAGCCUGAACCAGCCAAGUAGCGUGCAGGAUGACGGCCCUACGGGUUGUAAACUGCUUUUAUACGGGAAUAACGCGCCUUACGUGUAGGGCUUUGCAUGUACCGUAUGAAUAAGGACCGGCUAAUUCGGUGCCAGCAGCCGCGGUAAGACGGAAGGUCCGGGCGUUAUUCGGAUUUAUUGGGUUUAAAGGGAGCUUAGGGCGCAGGUCAAUCGUGCUGUUCAAUGUCCGGGCUCAAGCCGGGCCUUGCAGGGCGUACUGGCGUGCUUGAGUGCGCGGAAAGCAGGCGGAAUUCGUGGUGUAGCGGUGAAAUGCUUAGAUAUGACGCAGAACCCCGAUUGCGAAGGCAGCUUGCUGCAGCGGAACUGACGCUGAUGCACGAAAGCGCGGGUAUCGAACAGGAUUAGAUACCCGAGUAGUC
rnacentral:rRNA from 1 species